AAUUUUGGACAAUGGGGGAAACCCUGAUCCAGCCAUCCGGCGUGUAUGAUGAAGGCCUUCGGGUGGUAAAGUACUUUUGGCAGAGAAGAAAAGGUAUCUCCUAAUACGAGAUACUGCUGACGGCAUUUGCAGAAUAAGCACCGUAUAACUACGUGCCAGCAGCCGCUGUAAUACGGAGGGUGCAAGCGGUAAUCGGAAUUACUGGGCGUAAAGCGUGUGUAGGCGGUUCGGAAGGAAAGAUGUGAAAUCCCAGAGCUCAACCUUGGAAGUGCAUUUUUAACUGCCGAGCUAGAGUAUGUCAGAGGGGGGUAGAAUUCCACGUGUAGCAGUGAAAUGCGUAGAUAUGUGGAGGAAUACCGAUGGCGAAGGCAGCCCCCUGGGAUAAUACUGACGCUCAGACACGAAAGCGUGGGGGGCAAACAG
rnacentral:rRNA from 1 species